CAUGACUUCUGCUAAUAUGUUAUUUCCAUUCAUAUUCCCCAACACCAAGGUAAUGAAUCGCCUAUAAUGCUCCCAGAUAAGAUAUGUUUUCAUUUUAUCGUUUGACAUUUCUCUUGCUCCUAAUUUGAUAUAAAUAUUUAUAAACACCUAAUUGCAACUGAACGUCAUAGAAACAAGCAAAAACAAUAAGACUUAAAAAGCCAAAGAGGAAUUUUUUAGCAUCGCGAAAACUACCCGCUAGCUAUACCCGGUAGCCGAACAAUUUCCACACACAGUUAUUUUCACUGAAAAUGUUUUUCAAACCUCUUGACAGUGUCAGAGGUUUGUUAGAAAUUACAAGCAUUUCCAAACAUAAAAAAAAAGCAUAUGCAAAAAUAAAAAAAAUUAAAUAGAAAUUUAUAUCCUAAUGUCGUAUGCUUAUGCUAUGGUCUGAUUAAUUUGAAUUCGACUUUGUACUUUUUCUCUCAACUUUUUUUAAAGCGCCGAGAGGAAGGAUGCUAUUUAAAGAGAGGACGGGGCAGGGCAACAGCAAGAAUAAUUCCAAUGAAGGUAUUGCUUCUAUUUCUCCAAAAGCUGUUGAACGGGGAAGAAUGGAAUUUCCAACACCACCUCCAAAAUCACCUGAGAAGGACGCUAAUCCCCUUGAAAAAACCGCAUCGACUCAAACUAAUACUUCAAACCAGAAAGCUCCGAAGGAGCAGUGGCGAGUGUCGAGAGGAAGGAUGGAAUUUAAAAAGAGGACUGGGCAGGGCAGUAGAACGAAUAACAAGUGUAGUAUCAGUUGAUGCCAUCAUUGAACGAGAGCUCUUUGCGUAAAGCAAUGAUGUUAUCUAAGUCUUACCAAUAGGAAAACGAUAGUUUCAUCUCUUGAAUAAUUUGUAGAGUUACAUUUGGGAGACGCAUCAAAGAAGUGGGUACAUCAUCAAAUUUAAUCGCGAUUGUGGUCUACGUUCUUUGAUUGGUCAACAAAACUCGCCUUCUCUCCCAACCAAUGGGAUAAAAAUCUCAGAACCAACCGUGGCUUGGUUACUUGCGUUUUCCCGCGCUUCAGGCCGGCUCCAUGCAUGUAUUUGCUUUGAGUCUCAUAGGCUCGUUUUGAAAUUUCCUUCUUACUGACUAUUCCUUAUUAUUACAGUAAUUUGGUUUACGAAACUUAUGCACUCGAAAGUGAGAGGUCCGUAUUGGUUAUGUGAAGCUCGUCAACAACAUUCCGACGUAGAGGAAAAUUUUCCGGCCUACUGAAUUUCUCUUAAAAGUCUGGACUCCUUGUCAAAAAUUUGCAAAUUUCGUCGUGACAAGUUUUUUCCUUGACAUAUGUCCAUGAUAAAAAAAAUGGCAUGGCAAUUCUCAGUGAAAGCUUACCAUAAAAAAAAAUCAUGACGGUUGUCAUUGAACGAGGCUGCACUAUUUAUUAGUAACAAAUGACUCACAAAAACGACUUUCCUCACAAAUAGCGUUUAAUAAGGCACAUAAAUAAUUGGAACGUUAUGUCUACGAUAAAUAAAGCUUAUAAAUAUUCAUUAGAAUUACAAGUAAACAUGUUAGAAAAAUAAAUCGGUUGCGGAGCGUAAAAA